ensembl:lncRNA novel transcript
CUUGUGACUUCGCAGGAGACCGCCACUCACGCGGAGCCAAUCGGAACUCGCGGCGGGGUUGCUGGGUCUUCCAGGAUCGCGCAUUAGCGGACGCUGGCUACGGGUGGCCGGGCGGGAUGUAACCGGCUGCUGAGCUGGCAGUUCUGUGUCCCCAGGCUUCGGCCCGGCCGCCGCCGCACAUAAACUGCGAGGAGGAGCUUUACGACUUCUCGGUCUUCGGGGCCGGGCGCAGCAAGGGCCAGACUCUGCGCUAGCAGGCGCUGCGCGCCAACCGGCCGGCCCCUGUCGCAGAAGGUGCAACCGAUCGCACUGUCGCGCAGAAGCUCCUCAAUGGCCAGCGCCAGCUGCAGCCCCGGCUGCCCACUCGCCUCACCUGAGCCUGGGUGGAACAAUCCAAAGUUUUAAUCAAAGAAGGUGGUAUUCAGUUGCUGCUUACAAUAGUUGAUACCCCAGGAUUUGGAGAUGCAGUGGAUAAUAGUAAUUGCUGGCAGCCUGUUAUCAAUUACAUUGAUAGUAAAUUUGAGGACUACCUAAAUGCAGAAUCGCAAGUGAACAGAUGUCAGAUGCCUGGUAACAGGGUGCACUGUUGUUUAUACUUCAUUGCUCCUUCAGGACAUGGACCGUUACAUAACUGAAGACUCCCACCUUCAGGCAGGAUUGGGUAGUACAUGUUUGUAACUACCUGGCAUUGCCUUUUGUUGAGACUUAAACCAUUGGAUAUUGAGUUUACAAAGCAUUUGCAUGAAAAAGUGAAUAUCAUCCCACUUAUUGCCAAAGCAGACACACUCAUGCCAGAGGAAUGCCAACAGUUUAAAAAACAGAUAAAGAAAUCCAAGAACAUAAAGUUAAAAUAUAUGAAUUUCCAGAAACAGAUGAUGAAGAAGAAAAAAAACUUGUUAAAAAGAUAAAGGACCAUUUACCUCUUGCUGUGGUGGGUAGUAAUACUAUCAUUGAAGUUAAUGGCAAAAGGGUCAUAGGAAGGCAGUAUCCUUGGAGUGUUGCUGAAGUUGAAAAUGGUGAACAUUGUGAUUUUACAGUUUUAAGAAAUAUGUUGAUAAGAACACACGCAGGACUUGAAAGAUGUUACUAAUAAUGUCCACUACGAGAACUAUGGAAUCAGAAAACUGGCAGCUGUGACUUAUCAUGGAGUUGAUAACAAGAAGAAUAAAGGGCAGCUCACUAAGAGCCCUCUGGCACAAAUGGAAGAAGAAAGAAGGGAGCAAGUAGCUAAAAUUAAGAAGAUGGAGAUGGAGAUGGAGCAGGUGUUUGAGAUGAAGGUCAAAGAAAAAGUUCAAAAACUGAAGGACUCUGAAGCUGAGGUACAGCGGACCUUCCUGGCAUCAGAAAAAGGCCUCCAGAAAAAGAGACACAGGAACUGAUUUCAUCUGAAAUUGAAGAGACAAUCAGAGAAAAACUAUAGACCACUCAUGAUGGUUGUUAUAUGUGCUUGGCUGGGCCAUGGGUCCCAGUGUUUGGUGAAACACAGCAGCAGAUGUCCCUGUGAGUAGAUGUUGCUUUGAAGGUAUCUUUUAGAUGUGAUGAACAUUUGUCAUCAGUAGACUUUGAGUAAGGCAGAUAGCCCGUCACAAUGUGGAUGGGCCUUAUCCAAUUAGUUGAAGGCCUUUGAAAAAAGACUGAGAUCCCAAACGAAGAAGGAAUUCUGCCUCCAGACAGCCUUCCAACUCAAGUAGCAACAUAACCUCCUCCCUGCGGCUCUAGCCUGCUGGCCUUUCCUAUAGACUUCAGACUUGCCAGCCCCACAAUCAUAACCCCAGGAAAACACACAAAGGAAAAACAACUCGAUAGACAGAAGAUUCUUCAAUGACAACAAUGGAAGCCAUCUUCACCAUUCAACUAAACUUGAAUGGGAUAUUAUCAAACUUAAAAAAAAAUUAUCAACUGAUCGUGUAAUCAGUUUCAUCUUUUAAGACAGGAAAUGAAAUAAAGUAUUUACAGAUGAAUGUAAAA